rnacentral:rRNA from 1 species
GAUGAACGCUGGCGGCGUGCCUAAUACAUGCAAGUCGAGCGGACGGACGAGAAGCUUGCUGCUCUGGUGUUAGCGGCGGACGGGAGAGUAACACGUGGAGAACCUAACUAUCAGACUGGGAUAACUUCGGGAAACCGGAGCUAAUACCGGAUAAUAUUUUGAACCGCAUGGUUCAAUAGUGAAAGACGGUCUUGCUGUCACGUAAAGAUGGUUCCGCGCUGCAGUAGCGAGUUGGUAAGGUAACGGCUUACCAAGGCAACGAUGCAUAGCCGACCUGAGAGAGUGACCGGCCACACUGGGACUGAGACACGGUCCAGACUCCUACGGGGGGCAGCCGUAGGGAAUCUUCCGCAAUGGGCGAAAGCCUGACGGAGCAACGCCGCGUGGGUGAUGAAGGUCUUCGGAUCUUAAAGCUCUGUUAUUAGGGAAGAACAUCUGUGUAAGUAACUGUGCACAUCUUGACGGUACCUAAUCAGAAAGCCACGGCUAACUACGUG